rnacentral:rRNA from 1 species
GGGUGAGGAGAGUAUCCUAAGGCCAGCGAGAGAACUGUUGUUAAGGAACUCGGCAAAAUGACCCUGUAACUUAGGGAUAAGGGGUGCCACCAUCAGGUGGCCGCAGAGAAUAGGCCCAAGCGACUGUUUACCAAAAACAUAGGUUUCUGCUAAGUCGCAAGACGAUGUAUAGGAGCUGACGCCUGCCCGGUGCUGGAAGGGUAAGGGGAUCUGUUAGAGCAAUCGAAGCAGUGAACUUAAGCCCCAGUAAACGGCGGCCGUAACUAUAACGGUCCUAAGGUAGCGAGAUUCCUUGGCGGGUAAGUUCCGACCCGCCCGAAAGGCGUAACGAUUUGGGCACUGUCUCA